rnacentral:lncRNA from 1 species
UUUUUUCUUUCAAAUAGCAUUUGAGUAGUGUACUUUAUUAUACAGGGUUCCAAUGCGAGACAAAAUACACUCUGAAUCAGCAUAAUUCAAAGAGUAUUACAAAAAUAAAUCACAAAGGGUACUAUAGAAACCUCGGACUAGUAGCAGGCAAACACUCACUACUCUUAAGCCUGUGGUGAAAAGGAUUUUUCCCAAAAAAUCCAUAGCAAUAUCUGGGGGUCCUGAAAUACUUUCAUAUGGUUUGGCUCUGUGUUCCCACCCAAAUCGCACCUCGAAUUACAAUCCCCAUGUGUUGGAGGAGGGGCCUGGUUGGGGGUGUUGGAUCAUGGGGGCGAUUUCCAUUGGUUUAACACCAUCCUCCUAGUGCUGUCUUGUGAUGGAAUUCUCAUAAGAUCUGCUUGUUAAGAAGAAAGUAUAUAACACCUCCUCCUUCACUCUGUCUCUCCUGCUACCAUACGAAGAUGUGCUUGCUUCCUUUUCCACCUUCUGCCAUGAUUGCAAGUCUUCUGAGGCCUCUCAGCCAUGCUUCCUCUACAGCCUGCAGAACUGGAACUGUGGAGAAGAUGGUAUUAGAAAAUUCCACUUAAUGAUACAGUGGGUACACAUGCAGUUUUGUUACAUGGGAAUACUGCAUGAUGCUGAGGUUUGAAGUAUGGAUCCCAUCACACAGAUAUUUGGAUGCCCUCAUUUGGUCACUUCAUUGAAAUCAAGACAAGCAGCCUCAAAGUUCAUAGAAAACCAGCCCCAAAGAUUUUUGGGCAAGCUAUUUCUCAAAAGAGGAUCAAAAUGUUUGAAUUUGCACACAGAAUUUUUAGCAGUGUGAUUAAAACAAAUCAUCUAAACUCUCAAGUUUCAGUUUCUCAACUGCUGCACAGGAAGCAUGACUGGGGAGGCUUCAGAAAACUUACAAUCAUGGCAAAAGGCAAAGAAGUAGGAGGCACGUCUUCACAUGUCCACAGCAGGAGGAAGAGAGAGAGAAAGUGGAGGUGCUACACACUUUUAAACAACCAGAUCUUGUGAGAACUCUAUCACAAAACAACAUCUGGGGAUGGUGCUAAACCAUUAGCAACCACCACCGUUAUCCAAUCACCUCCCACCGUGCCCCUCCUCCAACACUGGGAAUUCUGAUUUGAUGUGAGAUUUGGGUGGGAACACAAAUCCAAACCAUAUCAGCUAUGUAAUAAACCUAUACAUGUAACCCCCAGUUUAAAAUAAAAGUUAAAUCAAAAAUUGAAAAAA